rnacentral:rRNA from 1 species
GACGAACGCUGGCGGCGUGCUUAACACAUGCAAGUCGAACGGAAAGGCCCUGCUUUUGUGGGGUGCUCGAGUGGCGAACGGGUGAGUAACACGUGAGUAACCUGCCCUUGACUUUGGGAUAACUUCAGGAAACUGGGGCUAAUACCGGAUAGGAGCUCCUGCUGCAUGGUGGGGGUUGGAAAGUUUCGGCGGUUGGGGAUGGACUCGCGGCUUAUCAGCUUGUUGGUGGGGUAGUGGCUGACCAAGGCUUUGACGGGUAGCCGGCCUGAGAGGGUGACCGGCCACAUUGGGACUGAGAGACGGCCCAGACGCCUACGGGAGGCAGCAGGGGGGAAUAUUGCAGAAUGGGCGGAAGCCUGAUGCAGCAACGCCGCGUGCGGGAUGACGGCCUUCGGGGUGUAAACCGCUUUCGCCUGUGACGAAGCGUGAGUGACGGUAAUGGGUAAAGAAGCACCGGCUAACUACGUG